rnacentral:rRNA from 1 species
AACGAACGCUGGCGGCAGGCUUAACACAUGCAAGUCGAACGCACCUUUCGGGGUGAGUGGCAGACGGGUGAGUAACGCGUGGGAAUCUACCCUUCUCUACGGGAUAGCUCCGGGAAACUGGAAUUAAUACCGUAUACGUCCUGAGGAAGAAAGAUUUAUCGGGGAAGGAUGAGCCCGCGUUGGAUUAGCUAGUUGGUGGGGUAAAGGCCUACCAAGGCGACGAUCCAUAGCUGGUCUAAGAGGAUGAUCAGCCACAUUGGGACUGAGACACGGCCCAAACUCCUACGGGAGGCAGCAGUGGGGAAUAUUGGACAAUGGGCGCAAGCCUGAUCCAGCCAUGCCGCGUGAGUGAUGAAGGCCCUAGGGUUGUAAAGCUCUUUCAGUGGGGACGAUAAUGACGGUACCCACAGAAGAAGCCCCGGCUAACUUCGUG